GUGACGCGGGUUGAGCCCGACCCGUCAGUUUGUCAAAGCUUUACUAUGAACCCUAUAAUUUCCCCCCAAAUCCACUGGAUUAACAAUUGGAUUUUAUUUCGUUCACCGAUUUUAAUUUUUUUCAGAUAUAUCAGAAAUUCUCUCACUAAUGCCGCGGUACUACUGUGAUUAUUGUGACACUUACUUGACUCAUGAUUCUCCUUCUGUCAGAAAGCAGCAUAAUUCUGGCUACAAACAUAAGGCAAACAUAAGAUCCUACUACCAAAAGUUUGAGGAACAACAAACUCAGAUUUUGAUUGAUCAGAAGAUCAAGGAGCAUCUUGGGCAGACAGUAGUAUAUCAACAGAUUGGCGCAGCUUAUAACCAACAUCUUGCUGCUUUUCCCGGAGCAAGGCCGCGCCUACCUGUCAUGCCGCCUCCUAUGUUUCCGGGACCUCCUCAGAUGGUUCCUGGUAUGAGGCCUCCAAUGCUGCCUAUACCAGUUCCUGGUGCUCCUGGUUAUGGAAAUUCUCCAAUGGUCCCAAUGCAGCCUCAGCCUGCUCCUUCGUUGCCUCCACAAUCUAGUGGGCUUCCACCUCCACCAAGUACGAGUGCCCCAUCACCAGUUCCUGGAGGAGGCCAACCCCCGAGCUCUAGUGGUGCGCCACCACCUAAUGCUACUCAAAUGUACAAUGUGAAUCCACCUGGAACUUCUGCUGCUUCUGCACCCGCUGGUGGCUAUUCUUAUCCACAGUACUCUCAAACCGGUUAAUAGUUUACUAGCCAUGAGCCCCAGCCUCAUGUCACAGCUUACUGGCUAGUGUUAUCAACUGAAUUCUAUGAGUUUGUGCAGAUAGUGGCUCUAGCGUACAGAGAAUGUGCUGAGCGUAGAGGGCUGUAUUUCGAUUUCGAAUACAUAUUGCAUUGUUAACUGUCAUUGCACACGCUUGAGCUUGACUAUGAAAAGCUGCUUGUAGAAGUAUGAGAGAUGUGAAUUGGUGAGAUGGGACUUUUUGUAAUUCUGUGGAGAUUUUCUUUUCUUUUAGGAGAAUUUUCAUGGUGAAAAUCCACAUGCUAGUGCUGAAGUUCUAACAAUUUGAUUUAACGUCUCAUUUGACUCAAAGUCUCUCAUAUGUAUGAGAGAGAAAGAAAGCAAGACACUAAUUUUGGGAAAAUAUAAUUCAAUUUUCUACACUUUCUCUAAAGCUUAAAGUAUUCAAAAAUAAAGAUUAAUUCAGAAACUGAAUCAUCUCCUACUCCUAUUUAUUGCCAGCAACAAGCCUACCCUACACCUUAAUAAAAGCAAAAUUAUUUCUUAACGUGAAGAAACUUGUCUGUCUUCAGCCACAUUGUUGAUCUAGUCCUCUUGACAUGAUCAGCAAAGAGGUCAUGCCUGCCAAUGAAGAACAAAAACGUAUAACGUGGAGAAACUAUACGGGCUAUCAAUCUUGACUGAAAUGAAUUGGGACACACGUUUCAUAUUCUAGUCAUUCAACAGCAGCUCCGAGCUGUAGACAGUGCCACCUGCAAUGAUCAUCUCAUAAGAAACUUGCUUGUUUGGUUCUAAGGUUGCAGUUAUGGAGCAUGGGAGGAAUUACCAACCUUUCUCAAGAAAAGGAACGCAUCUUCUUCACAAGCUAGAAUCAACAGAUCGUCUGGCAGUUGCUCGUCCUUAAAUACAGAUCUGCCAAGUCUCUCAACGGCUGAUGAGCAAUGCAACAAGAAUUAGUAAGGAAAAUGCGACAAAUUGGAGUGCAGCUCAUCUGGGAUGCGGGUGGAUCCCCUACUGUGAUUUAAAUCACAGCACAGAAUGCUGUGCUUAAUACGCAAGAGUUAACGAACAAAACGCAGCCUCCUUUCUCAUUCCCUUAUUUUAAUAUUUUUCAUCCUUUUCUUUC